AUUAUAUUCAGUAGCCUGCAUGUGUCCAAAUCACAAAUGAAAUGAUGUGGGCAAAUAUAAAUUAAAAUUGAAUGUUGCAGAAGUGGUUGAGGAACUUCACCAGGAUACAUUAAUGUACAAACUGAAAACUGAUGAAAGACUUCUGAAGAGAGAUUUGCUAGGAAAAAUAAAAAGAUAUAUAAAUUUCAGUGAUGCUGAAGGAGAGGAAGGAUGUGAUGUCUUUCCCCAUCCGUCAUAAGGGUCAUGGCCAACACUCCUAUAACAAAAGGUUUUGAGAAGCCAUCUGCAGCUCACAACUAGAUGAGUGACACAAUCAGAUGUGCGUAUGCAAAAAAAAGCCUGGAGACAUUGAACUAAGAUCAAAUUUAAUGUAUUAAAUAUGGUAGAAAGAAGAGAGAAUGAAAAAUAAUGUUAACAAUCUAGGUGAGGAAUUGCUGAGGAGACAAAUUAAGUAAAUCCUGUGGAAGGAAAGAAGAAAGGAGGAAAGAGGAUUGGAUGGAAGAAUCUCCACUUCUCAGUAAUUUGUUUAUUUACUUUAUUAGUUUACAUCCAUGUGAUUGGCAUCUAAAUUAUUAUUUUAAAGUUAGAUGACUUUUGCUAAUAUCCUUGUAUUUAAAUUUUUAAAAAUACAUCUUUUUAUUCUUCUA
rnacentral:lncRNA from 1 species